GACGAACGCUGGCGGCGUGCUUAACACAUGCAAGUCGAACGGAAAGGCCCCUUCUGGGGUACUCGAUUGGCGCACGGGUGAGUAACACGUGAGUAACCUGCCCUCGUCUUCGGGAUAACUUCAUGAAACUGGGGCUAAUACCGGAUAGGAAUCCGUGCUGCAUGGUGGGGGUUGGAAAGCUUCGGCGGUUUUGGAUGGACUCGCGGCGUAUCAGCUUGUUGGUGGGGUGGUGGGCUACCAAGGCGUUGACGGGUAGCCGGCCUGGGAGGGCGAACGGCCAAAUUGGGACUGGGAACAGGCCCAGACUCCCACGGGAGGCAGGAGGGGGGAAUUUUGGCACAUGGGGGGAAGCCUGAUGGAGCAACGCCGCGGGGGGGAUGGCGGGCUUCGGGUUGGAAAACGUUUUCCGCAGGGGAGAAGCUUGUGGUGACGGUACCUGCAGAAGAAGCACCGGCUAACUACGUG
rnacentral:rRNA from 1 species